rnacentral:rRNA from 1 species
GAUGAACGCUAGCGGCAGGCUUAAUACAUGCAAGUCAAGGGGGUAGCAAUACAACCGGCGCACGGGUGAGUAACGCGUACACAACAUACCAUAUACUGGAGUAUAGCUUUGGGAAACUGAAGGUAAUCCUCCAUAACAUUGCGAGAGGGCAUCUGAUUGCAAUUAAAGUUUCGGCGGUAUAUGAUUGGUGUGCGUUUGAUUAGCUAGUUGGUAGGGUAACGGCCUACCAAGGCGACGAUCAAUAGCUGGCGUGAGAGCGCGACCAGCCACACUGGAACUGAGACACGGUCCAGACUCCUACGGGAGGCAGCAGUGGGGAAUAUUGGACAAUGGAGGAAACUCUGAUCCAGCCAUGCCGCGUGAUAGAUGAAGGCCCUCUGGGUUGUAAAUAUCUUUUAUCUGGGAAGAAACACUCCUAUUCUUAGGAACUUGACGGUACCAGAGGAAUAAGCACCGGCUAACUCCGUGCCAGCAGCCGCGGUAAAGUA